AAGUGGGCUCCUUGGUUUUCAAGGUAGUCACUUAAUGUGGAGUGCAGAAAGGGGAGUCUGACACUUAGGGGCCGUGUGCAUCUCUCCUUGUAUGGAUGUAUCCUCCGUGAGCUUCAUCUCAUCCCACUCAGCAAAAAGCCGCCAACAAAGCCUUGCCUUGGUCGGGGGACUGCAGUUAAGUGGAGGGUCUCACUAUGUAUUGUUGACUGUCCUGGAACUCACUAUGUGGAUCAAGCUAGCCUCAAGUUCACAGAGAUCAUCCUGCCUCGGCUUCUCAAGUGCUGGGAUUAAAGCUGCUCUUCCGACCCUCCAUGUCAUCAGAACCCAGCUUCUUCAGCAGAUGGAAGACCAGUGGCUCUUCAGAAUCUCCAGGACUUCAGCGCCACCUGGGACUGCAAGGCAUCCAAACUCACGGACAGAAGUAGGUUCUCAGCUUCCAGUGUGCUGGUCACCACCCAGUCCAUAUCAUAGAAGCCAAUGUAAUAACUCCUCUUUUGUUAUAGCUAGUCAUCCUCUCACUUCUUUUCCUUUAGAGAACCCACACUAAUAUGGACUCAGAAUCUAUGGUCUCUUAUAUAUAUUUC